rnacentral:rRNA from 1 species
GACGAACGCUGGCGGCGUGCUUAACACAUGCAAGUCGAACGGAAAGGCCCUGCUUUUGUGGGGUGCUCGAGUGGCGAACGGGUGAGUAACACGUGAGUAACCUGCCCUUGACUUUGGGAUAACUUCAGGAAACUGGGGCUAAUACCGGAUAGGAGCUCCUGCUGCAUGGUGGGGGUUGGAAAGUUUCGGCGGUUGGGGAUGGACUCGCGGCUUAUCAGCUUGUUGGUGGGGUAGUGGCUUACCAAGGCUUUGACGGGUAGCCGGCAUGAGAGGGUGACCGGCCACAUUGGGACUGAGAUACGGCCCAGACUCCUACGGGAGGCAGCAGUGGGGAAUAUUGCACAAUGGGCGGAAGCCUGAUGCAGCAACGCCGCGUGCGGGAUGACGGCCUGCGGGUUGUAAACCGCUUUCGCCUGUGACGAAGCGUGAGUGACGGUAAUGGGUAAAGAAGCACCGGCUAACUACGUG